ACGAACGCUGGCGGCGUGGAUAAGACAUGCAAGUCGAACGAGAGAAUUGCUAGCUUGCUAAUAAUUCUCUAGUGGCGCACGGGUGAGUAACACGUGAGUAACCUGCCCCCGAGAGCGGGAUAGCCCUGGGAAACUGGGAUUAAUACCGCAUAGUAUCGAAAGAUUAAAGCAGCAAUGCGCUUGGGGAUGGGCUCGCGGCCUAUUAGUUAGUUGGUGAGGUAACGGCUCACCAAGGCGAUGACGGGUAGCCGGUCUGAGAGGAUGUCCGGCCACACUGGAACUGAGACACGGUCCAGACACCUACGGGUGGCAGCAGUCGAGAAUCAUUCACAAUGGGGGAAACCCUGAUGGUGCGACGCCGCGUGGGGGAAUGAAGGUCUUCGGAUUGUAAACCCCUGUCAUGUGGGAGCAAAUUAAAAAGAUAGUACCACAAGAGGAAGAGACGGCUAACUCUGUGCCAGCAGCCGCGGUAAUACAGAGGUCUCAAGCGUUGUUCGGAAUCACUGGGUGUAAAGCGUGCGUAGGCUGUUUCCUAAGUCGUGUGUGAAAGGCGCGGGCUCAACCCGCGGACGGCACAUGAUACUGCGAGACUAGAGUAAUGGAGGGGGAACCGGAAUUCUCGGUGUAGCAGUGAAAUGCGUAGAUAUCGAGAGGAACACUCGUGGCGAAGGCGGGUUCCUGGACAUUAACUGACGCUGAGGCACGAAGGCCAGGGGAGCGAAAGGGAUUAGAUACCCCUGUAGUCCUGGCAGUAAACGGUGCACGCUUGGUGUGCGGGGAAUCGACCCCCUGCGUGCCGGAGCUAACGCGUUAAGCGUGCCGCCUGGGGAGUACGGUCGCAAGAUUAAAACUCAAAGAAAUUGACGGGGACCCGCACAGGCGGUGGAGUAUGUGGCUUAAUUCGAUGCAACGCGAAGAACCUUACCUGGGCUUGACAUGUAAUGAACAACAUGUGAAAGCAUGCGACUCUUCGGAGGCGUUACACAGGUGCUGCAUGGCCGUCGUCAGCUCGUGUCGUGAGAUGUUUGGUUAAGUCCAGCAACGAGCGCAACCCCUGUUGCCAGUUACCAGCACGUGAAGGUGGGGACUCUGGCGAGACUGCCCAGAUCAACUGGGAGGAAGGUGGGGACGACGUCAGGUCAGUAUGGCCCUUAUGCCCAGGGCUGCACACGUACUACAAUGCCCAGUACAGAGGGGGCCGAAGCCGCGAGGCGGAGGAAAUCCUGAAAACUGGGCCCAGUUCGGACUGUAGGCUGCAACCCGCCUACACGAAGCCGGAAUCGCUAGUAAUGGCGCGUCAGCUACGGCGCCGUGAAUACGUUCCCGGGUCUUGUACACACCGCCCGUCACAUCAUGGAAGCCGGUCGCACCCGAAGUAUCUGAAGCCAACCGCAAGGAGGCAGGGUCCUAAGGUGAGACUGGUAACUGGGAUG
rnacentral:rRNA from 1 species